ACGGCUAUGGAAAUCUGACUUCCAGAGCUUUCUAGAAAUGUAUAAUAAUCCAUACUUUGCUUCAGAUUAGAAGGCCCAAAACUGGCGUCCAACGCCAGUCUCCUGCCCCUUUCCAGGCGUCCAGCAUCCAGGGAGCAGAGCCCAGCGUCCAAACGUCUAGAGAGGACCCCCUAGCCAGCGUUUCAAACCAUAAAGACCUCAUGGCACAUGGAUCUCAUGAAAGCUCAG
rnacentral:lncRNA from 1 species